rnacentral:rRNA from 1 species
CUCCUACGGGAGGCAGCAGUGGGGAAUUUUGGACAAUGGGCGCAAGCCUGAUCCAGCCAUGCCGCGUGAGUGAAGAAGGCCUUCGGGUUGUAAAGCUCUUUCGGUGGGGACGAAACGGUCCGUGACAACACCACGGACUAAUGACGGUACCCGCAUAAGAAGCACCGGCUAACUACGUGCCAGCAGCCGCGGUAAUACGUAGGGUGCAGGCGUUAAUCGGAAUUACUGGGCGUAAAGCGUGCGCAGGCGGCUCCUUAAGUCAGAUGUGAAAUCCCCGGGCUUAACCUGGGAACUGCGUUUGAAACUGGGGAGCUUGAGUGUGGAAGAGGGGGGUGGAAUUCCAGGUGUAGCAGUGAAAUGCGUAGAGAUCUGGAGGAACACCGAUGGCGAAGGCAGCCCCCUGGGCUGACACUGACGCUCAUGCACGAAAGCGUGGGGAGCAAACAGGAUUAGAUACCCUGGUAGUCCACGCCCUAAACGAUGUCAACUGGUUGUCGGGGAAGUUAUUCCUUGGUAACGAAGCUAACGCGUGAAGUUGACCGCCUGGGGAGUACGGCCGCAAGGUUAAAACUCAAAGGAAUUGACGGGGACCCGCACAAGCGGUGGAUUAUGUGGAUUAAUUCGAUGCAACGCGAAAAACCUUACCUACCCUUGACUUGUACGGAAGCCCGCAGAGAU